GGAUGUGCAAAAGGCUCUGUCCUGGUCUGUUGUAAACAUCACCUCUUCUAGCUGAAGCUCUUGUUAAAUAUACUUUAAAAUGCUGCCUUUUAACAAAAGGCCACUUGGAGAAGAAAGGGCACUUUCAAAAGAUGGUUAAUUUUCUCAUUUCUUAUUUGCUUUUUUGUUAAAUAAGGGUGUUCCAUUGUACUUGGCAAGCACCUUGCCGUGAAACAUCAGUCCCUUUAUCUGGUUCAUAAUUUAAGCCUCUUCCAUGUUUUUGUUUUUAAAGACAAUGCUGUUGCUAGGUCACAGCCAAAGGGCUACACAUGUAGCUGACACAUCUAUUUUUUCCUGAAGGGAUAGGCAUGGCUGAUGAGUACAGGGCAGGAACCAUCCUCCAUCCCAUGGGAACAACCUGUGACACCCUGCACUUUCUCCAGGCUGUUCUUCCCACACUCUUGCAGCUUGCCAAGGGAGAACCCAACACCACACCCACAGCACCUUCACUUUCUAGCAGUGAUUUCACUUUGCAUGGUCCUACAAAACACUUUUGUCUCCACAAAGGGAAUUCCUUCUACUUAAUAAACCCGACUGCGCAGCUGCACCCUGCAGUGGCCCAUGGACAGAGCCUGCUGUGAGAGCAGGGUUUGCACCCAGGCAGGCAGCACAGCCUGCACAGGGCUGCCUCCUCAGCACAGGUAGAAGACAAAGCUAAUGAAGCACCAUGCUGGGUUAGGCUCAACACUCGACUCUCCCCUUUCUUCUAGUGUAGAACAUUUCCUUUGUACCCUUACAGGCUUGGUAAGUACUGCUGAGUUUCACAUGUGUUAAAAAAAAAAACAAAAACGACAAAAAAGAUACGUUUGUACAAGAUGUGUUUCUUCCAUGCUUUCCACCCACUGCUCUCCAAUCUCAACAGAAGCCCUGCUGCCCUUGAGAACAGUCCCUUGCCCAGGGGGCAGCUGCUCAUCCCCUCCCCACAGCCCACAUCCCCUGCUGUGGCUGCAGCAAUGCCCAGGGACCGUGCCCAAGGACACACUCCCUGUCCCCUCCCAGGUGCCCAUCCUGUGCCACACUGACGGGGCACAGAUCCUUGUUUUAGACCGUGCUACCUGCCAGAGGAGCAGGGAUGGAAGAAUCUGGAGGAACUAAAACACUGUCAUAGGAAAAGCUGUAGGAGUUUGCCAGAAGAUGCAGCUUUAUUGUACAGUUAAUUAGCUCCCUCUGGAAGAGCUGUGAUGGGAGGAACGGGAAGAGAAACACAGACUGUUCGAGGGCUUGCUGCAACAGAGACCUGACCUGCACAGUCUGUAUCAUCCCACAGGAGUUACCUUGUCAUGCUCCCAAAAUCUCCUUGUGGAAGUGCUCCAGCCAGGCUCUUGGCUGAGGAACCUGCAGGCUCACCUUCACUCCAGGCUGCCAGCAACGUGAAGGGGCUCACACACACACUGCAGCUUUUCCUUUAACACUCAUCUGGCUAAAACAGUAGUGAUAAAACAGUAACUUGGUUCACUCACACUCCCAAAGCCAAUUGGUUUUUUGAUCAGAAAUGGUUAUGGACACCACUGUAUAUUUGUGCUUCCAGAGCCACACCAUUACCUGGGAUUUCCUCUGUCCAGGCUGCAGGACAGGACAGAAGGAAACUCUUGGGAGUCUCCUUGCAGGAUGCUGCAUCCCUUCCAGGGAGUUUCUCAUGCUUCCAUGAGCACCCUGUGUUAGGCAGUGACCCUCACAACUGCCCCAGCUGCAGCACAGCAGCUGCUCUUCAUCUGGCAGGGUCUACUCAAGAGGAAAAACACAGAAAAGGAAAUAAUGCCCAUGAAGCAAUGUCACUUCAAGCA